ACAAACAAUACAUAAAGAUUCCAACCAUAGGAAGUUACUCUACCGACAAGGAAGAUCAAAACACACAAUCAGAAGAAGAUAACCAAGUCAAAGCCCCUACAACCAGAGCCUUAAAGAAAAAUAAGAUGUUAUCUCAAGCUAUGGAAGAGUCAAAAUGGAUUUUUAAAAUCAACAUCUUCCAGAACUGAGCCUGACAUCUUCAAUGUUCUUCCCACCUCAUUGCUUGACACUAUCUUCAUGGAUUUUGUUUCACAGAUAAAAUUUUUCCCGUGGCCUUAUGGGAAACUCAUAUUGUGAGAGCAUCUUGCCAAAUCUGAUCUAGAAAGGUGGGAACAAGAAAAUGGCUUAUCUAUUGAUGAGUAAAGAAGAUGAAAAAGAGAUGGAACCUCCCCAGACCUCUGUUAUGGGCCAGAACUCCGAACUUGAAACAAAGGAUUCCUACAAGUUGCUCAGAAGAAAAAGGAGAGAAAGAGCCCAUCUCCCUUCAUUGACCUAAGUAUCAUUGUACAUGAUGUAUGGAGGCUUAAUAAGGAAGCAGCCCAGGGAACAAGGCUUAAGGUGGUGAUUCCUUGGAGAUUAACCAAACAACAGUGCAACAAAGAAUGAAGACUCUAUACAGAUACUUCUUCCAGUAAGACUACAUUAGAAAUGAGCAACAAAGAUGGGUAUGCUAUUCAGUGUUGUGAUAAUAUUCUGCUUAUUGCCAAUCUCCUUUGUUUAGUGGUGUUUACAACAAUUCCCCAGAGAGUACAGAAAGCUAGGGGCUGUAUUAAAUAAAAUUUGAUUCUACUUCAGAAUUAGUAGGUUGAACUAUGGGAGAACUGACAUUCACAUUAUCCUGCUUAUCCUU